AUCUUGAGGAUAGGUCAUCAGUAGUAAAAAGAGGACAACCCCUUUAACAUUUUGCCAACUGUGUCUGAAAUCAAUGUGAACCAAUGUUGUAAGAAGCAGGUGUUUAUAUCUAUGGGUUGUGUUUGGUAUUGAAGCCCAAUUUAAGUGAAUAUAGGCGAGUGGCAAAAUCAUAUCUGGUGAAACACAAAAGGGUUAAACAUUCCACUGUGAUCAGUGUCCCAGCCCCUACCUAUGAGACAUAUGUUAAGGAUGUGGAAACCCCUUUUAAAGGGUGACUGUACUUUCACACAAUUUAAUUUAAUGCAGAAUAAUGUAAUUAGCACAUUUCUAAAUUACUUCAUUAAAAAUAUGCCGGCAUUGACCUGAAAAAAGCUGUAAAGUCAUGGCCACUAGGGGUCUCACGUCCACCUAAUUUGCAACCCACUGCCUGUUGGGCUAGGUCCAUCUGUAGUAAAAGUUCACAGGAAAUGGGGGCAAAUAAGCUCCUAAGCCUGAUAGACGGAUUUCCUCUAUACAUCUUCUGAAGACCGGAGAAGCUCAUGUGUGUCUGUAAGUAUGAUAUCCCCCUCCUUAUGAGCUUUCCUGAAAACAAAUAUUGUGGUAAGUAACGGAAGUGAGGUCACUGCAAUACAGUACUGCCAGAAUCCUCAGAAGGGAGACACCCACUGCUUGUGAGAGAAAUGCAUCUAGCUGUGCAGCUGAAGUAAGGCAUAAUAUGGCUGAGGAAAACAUA